UCUCACGUAUGAGCCAAGAAAUUGGUUUCUUGAGAUGGAAUCUACUCCUGGUGAAGAUGCUAUGAA
rnacentral:pre_miRNA from 1 species